rnacentral:rRNA from 1 species
AGGGUUUGAUCUGGCUCAGGACGAACGCUGGCGGCGUGCCUAAUACAUGCAAGUCGAGCGGAUUUAAUUAGAGCUUGCUCUAAUUAAAUUAGCGGCGGACGGGUGAGUAACACGUGGGCAACCUGCCCUGCAGAUUGGGAUAACUCCGGGAAACCGGGGCUAAUACCGAAUAACAUUGGAAACCUCAUGGUUUCCUUUUAAAAGGCGGCUUCGGCUGUCACUGCAGGAUGGGCCCGCGGCGCAUUAGCUAGUUGGUGAGGUAACGGCUCACCAAGGCGACGAUGCGUAGCCGACCUGAGAGGGUGAUCGGCCACACUGGGACUGAGACACGGCCCAGACUCCUACGGGAGGCAGCAGUAGGGAAUCUUCCGCAAUGGACGAAAGUCUGACGGAGCAACGCCGCGUGAGUGAAGAAGGUUUUCGGAUCGUAAAACUCUGUUGUCAGGGAAGAACAAGUACGGGAGUAACUGACCGUACCUUGACGGUACCUGGCCAGAAAGCCACGGCUAACUACGUGCCAGCAGCCGCGGUAAUACGUAGGUGGCAAGCGUUGUCCGGAAUUAUUGGGCGUAAAGCGCGCGCAGGCGGCCUUUUAAGUCUGAUGUGAAAGCCCCCGGCUCAACCGGGGAGGGUCAUUGGAAACUGGAA